CCCGCUGCCUCCAUCUCUCCCCUUCAUCCCUCCCUACCUCCCUCCCCCUCAUCCCUCCCUUCCUCCCUCCCCUCCGCUCGCCCCUCCCCGGCCGGCGCCUGUCCCCUCCCUCCGCUCCGCAGCCGGGGCGGGGGGCUGCGAGCCGGGCCCGGCGCAGGGGGCGGCAGAGGCGGGGAGGCGGGCGGUGGGGCGGGAGCCGUGCCGGGUCUCCUCCGGGUGGCGUGCGGGAGAGCGGGGGCCGGGAGGGGGCGCGGAGGAAGCACCGGCAGCACCGGCAGCAGCGGCGCGGGAGAAGGGAGGGCGUCCCCGGCCGCCGCCGCUCCCCGCCGCGCCGAGGAGGGCGGGCGGACCACGAUGCCCGGGUGGCGGGCGCUGCCCGCCCGCCCGCAUGGAGACCGCCGCCCGUAGCGGGGCCGCCGCGCCGCACCGCGGGUGAACACUAAAACGUAUUGGAGAUUGUUCUAAACUGAACCAAACAGAGCGUCAGCCUUCGGUAAAAGUGCUAAGAGAUCCAGGACAAGCAAAUGAAGCCAACAAUGGCAUCUGCUGCUAGACUCACAAUGCGACUCUCGCAACCAGGAACAAAAUCCUUUCUUUUACAAUGUGUCGAG